rnacentral:rRNA from 1 species
UACGUAGGGGGCAAGCGUUGUCCGGAAUCAUUGGGCGUAAAGCGCGCGUAGGCGGCUAGAUCAGUCUGCUGUAAAAGUCAAAGGCUCAACCUUUGAAAGCCGGUGGAUACUGUCUAGCUAGAGUCCGGAAGAGGCGAGUGGAAUUCCUGGUGUAGCGGUGGAAUGCGCAGAUAUCAGGAGGAACACCAACGGCGAAGGCAGCUCGCUGGGACGUGACUGACGCUAGGACGCAAGCGCG